UACGUAGGGUGCAAGCGUUGUCCGGAAUUAUUGGGCGUAAAGGGUGCGUAGGCGGCGCGGUAAGUCGGGUGUGAAAUCUCGGGGCUUAACUCCGAAACUGCAUUCGAUACUGCCGUGCUUGAGGACUGGAGAGGAGACUGGAAUUUACGGUGUAGCGGUGAAAUGCGUAGAUAUCGUAAGGAAGACCAGUGGCGAAGGCGGGUCUCUGGACAGUUCCUGACGCUGAGGCACGAAGGUCAGGGGAGCAAACGGG
rnacentral:rRNA from 1 species